CAAGGUACUUCGGGUAAUUUGUGCCAAGUAUAUAAAUGCCAUGCUAACCUCCAUUUGCACAGACAAUGGCAUUCAUGGAUCCCUUCCUCAAUCCUUGGUACUGGAGAAACAAUUAGGAAGUAAUGGCAAAAAAAAUAGCAGCUCUCCUGCUUUGGACCUGCUCUCCCAAUGACAUGGAUAGCAUGAGUGGCCAGCGAGGUGUUCAGUGCUCUUCUCAAGUCCUUUCCAAGCUGAGUUAACCCUUUUCCAGCCCUCACCAGGCACAACCUAUUCAUACUGUGCAUUUCCCUCUUGAAGUGAGCGACCCAAGAAUAGGCCCUUGCCUGAUGUCUUUGUGGAGGCCAUCUCACUUCUGGAACAAAGCUUGGCACCUACUAUUUGCAGAACAAGUUGAGCAAACGAAGGACCGGAGUUUUGUAGUUUCUUGGCCAAGGCCUCUGAUCUUUAUGCUGUCUUCUGUCUCAUAUGAGCUCCAGGCCUCCAUGGCCACCCACAUGACAGUAAGGAGUCAAGACUGUGCCUCCUCUUAAAGAUGAUAAUCAAAACAUUAAGGUAAGGUGUUUCUCUGUCACAAUAAUAUAGGAGAUAAGCAUGGCUGGUAGGAGCAUGAGAACAACUGUCUGGUUACCAUGCAAAGGCUCCCUAGUGAGCAAAUGAGGGUAUUUCUGGCCUCAUCUGGUCUUCUCCUGUCUUACUUAGAAGGCCAUUAGUGGUGGAUACCAAGAUGGUGGUCGACUGAACAUCUCUGAAUCUUUCUCUUCCACUUACCAUGAAAAACAAACACGCAAACAAACAAAACCCUCCCUACCAGACUGUAAAAUCCACCAUUUGAGAUACUUCUUAGGGAUCAAGCACGACUCCUCCAACAUCCUUCCUGUGAGACAGAGGAUGAUCUCAGACUGCAGCUCAUUAGCAUACAAUAGCACCUCUGAGAUUUCCUUCUCUGUGUCCCAGAUGCUCUCCUGGUCUCAUAGCCAUGUUGUGCAGAAAUAUUCCUCAGAGCCUUCAAAACUCAUUGUUUUCCUUAGACUUAUCCCUUUCUUCUCCUUAUACUUGUUCCUCUUCUCUUUCAUUCCCAAAUCUCCUUUCUCCUUCCCCUGUCAUACCACAAUCUUGCAAUGUAGCUUGCCAAAGAUUUGAUGCUGACUAUGACUUCAGUCUUGAGAUCUCAAAAGAAGAGCACAAGCAUAUGAAGCCACAUAGAGAGUUUUGAGACGUCUUCUCUGUUUGCCCUUGUUUAUCCAAUACAAAGUCUCGCAGUGAUGUCAAUACUCUACAUCUGAUGUCUAAGAAAGGACAGCUAGCAUGCACUGGAGUGGCA
rnacentral:lncRNA from 1 species